rnacentral:rRNA from 1 species
GAUGAACGCUGGCGGCGUGCCUAAUACAUGCAAGUCGAGCGAACAGAUAAGGAGCUUGCUCCUUUGACGUUAGCGGCGGACGGGUGAGUAACACGUGGGUAACCUACCUAUAAGACUGGGAUAACUUCGGGAAACCGGAGCUAAUACCGGAUAAUAUUUCGAACCGCAUGGUUCGAUAGUGAAAGAUGGUUUUGCUAUCACUUAUAGAUGGACCCGCGCCGUAUUAGCUAGUUGGUAAGGUAACGGCUUACCAAGGCGACGAUACGUAGCCGACCUGAGAGGGUGAUCGGCCACAAUGGAACUGAGACACGGUCCAGACUCCUACGGGAGGCAGCAGUAGGGAAUCUUCCGCAAUGGGCGAAAGCCUGACGGAGCAACGCCGCGUGAGUGAUGAAGGUCUUCGGAUCGUAAAACUCUGUUAUUAGGGAAGAACAUACGUGUAAGUAACUGUGCACGUCUUGACGGUACCUAAUCAGAAAGCCACGGCUAACUACGUG